UUUGGUUUCAUUUAUUUAAAAAAUAAAUUUCUUGCUGGGCUUGGUGGUUCAUGCCUGUAAUCCCAGCACUUUGGGAGGCUUGAGGUCAGGAGUUCAAGACCAGCCUGGCCAACAUAGUGAAACCCAUCUCUACUAAAAAAAAAAAAAACAAAAAUUAGCUGGGUAUGGUGGUAAGGACCUGUAAUCCCAGCUACUCAGGAGGCUGAGGCAGCAGAAUCGCUUGAACCCGGGAGGUGGAGGUUACAGUGAGUGGAGAUAGCACCACUGCACUCCAGCCUGGGCAACAGAGUGAGGCUCUGUCUCAUAGAUAAAUAAAUAACUUACCUCCUGCCUGUCGGGGUCAUCAACUGGACACAUGAACUGGGGCAGGAACCCAAGGGGCCCAACCACUGCAUCCCCAGACUUCCCGCCAAUCUCCUGCCCCCAGUCUGGUGCCUCCCCACCCCCUGCCUUCCACAGUAACUGAAGUCUCAGAGCCCUUAUUCUGUCCAAUUUCUACAGCUGUGGUGUGGAUCGUCUCGUCCCUCACAGUCUCCCCUAUGAAGCCCCUUGGAUUGUAACUUCCUCCACUCUGCUCAUUGAUUUGCCACUCCAGGCUUCUGGGAAUAUUCUCUUACUUGCUGGUGUCUCCGAUCACCUUCUCUUUGUGUUUAUGGGUUUAUUCAUUUCUAUUUUUUGCUGUCAUUUCCAUUGGAUUAGGGGACGGAAAGGAGAUAAAGACAUUUGGACAUUCUGCGAUAUUUAACCAGAAAAGGUCAAGUUGAACUAAUCAUCGAGUUUUGGCUUUUGGAAAUUACUUCUCCCAUAGCAAGCAGAAGAGGGAGCAAAGGGCCUCCAGAGAGAGCACACUCCUGAAAGGAAGAGACAGAAUCUCAGUGAAGCAACAUCAGUGAUCAGAUGUUUCCUCUGGACAACACAUCCAUAGUUGUUGGCUCCAAAAGCAGCGUUUCCUGCAGAAAAUCAAGUACAUUUCUCCCAGAUGCAGAGUGUGGCUUCAUGUCCCAUCCCUGGUUUUAUUAAACGUGGCAUGAGCCCUGGAUGAAAAUCAAGCCUGGCCUAGCAGGGGACUGAGUCAUUAAAUAUCGCCACUGUUAACAUCCACAUGG
rnacentral:lncRNA from 1 species